AUGACAGCAACCACCACACCGCGAUCCCCUCUCAUCCCCACGCACGCUCGUUGGAGCAUCUCGUCGCUGCCUCCGCCGCCGGCCGCCGCCUCGUGCUUCGUCGCAGCACCCCGUCGUCGCCGUGCUGCUAUGGAGCGCCGCCAUGCUGCGUCGCCGCCUCCGCCGUCGCCUCGUGCUUCGUCGCGGCACCUCGUCGUCGUCGUGUUGCUAUGGAGCGCCGCUGUGCUGCGUCGCAGCCUCGCCGCCACAUCGUGCUUUCGUCGCAGCACCUCGUUGUCGUCGUCAUGUUGCUAUGGAGCGCCGUCGUGCUGCGUCGCAACCUCCACCGCCGCAUCGUGCUUCGUCGCAGCUCUCCGUCGUCGUCGUGCUGCUAUGGAGCACUGUCGUGCCGAUGGUCGUGUUGCAAUGAAGCUUCACCGGCGGCCAUCUGGUGGAGCGAUGGACCCGCCGCGCCGGGUGCGCCGCUGCACUGGAACAUCGCCGGCGGUCGUAGGGUGCUGCGAUGGAGCACCGCCAUGCCAGCUUUGGCGCUACAGUGAAGCAUCGCCGGUGGUCGUCGGGUGCUGCGAUGGAGCAGCGCCACACCGGUGUUGGCGCUGCAGCGAAGCGUUGCCGGUGGUGGAGCAUGGCUGCGCUGCCGGUGAGGUGGUGGCGUACUGGCAUGGUGCGACUCCUCCUGUGGCGCUGCUUCCAACGACGACACGCUUUGGUUGCUCGCGUGUGGCUGCGAUGACAGCAGGGACGAGCCCGCGAGAGGGCGUUGACUGA
rnacentral:rRNA from 1 species